ensembl:lncRNA
CGUAAUCUUCACAUGUCUGGUCAGGUUGUCAGCAUAGAACAUGUUUGCAAAAGUGCUCACAUGUUUUCAGAGAUUUCACUGCUCUGCUAACAGUCAGCAUGCAGAGGGCACCGAGGGGGUUACGUCAACCGGUUUGUUUACAUAUUCCACUCUCCGUGUUCCACAUGUUGCAUUCGCAGAUUCUCAUUUUCACCGAACGAUCGUCUCUUUCCGCCUGGUCUUGUGUGUCUGUGCUUCUGUAACAUAAAGAAUGAGCUGACAUGUUUCUCACGACACCAGCGAUCAGCUCAACAGACCGUCAGUUUACCUGCAUGCAUCCUCCUCCUCACCUGUCAGCCGUUUAACACCUGCUGCUAAUUCAAGAAACACGCCCACGUUACCUGGUGAUCGUCACAGUUUAACUGGGCAGCCGGUGCUUGAUAUAACGCAAUGUCAGCGCAUUUUUCUGCAUAAGAUAAGUAAAUAUAGUAUUUCUCCCGAGCGCAGAGUUGCUGUUUCCUUACAGAGCACUUUAUAGGCGAAGCCACUUUAUCAGCAGCUGAUGUCCAAUCACCGCACACAGCUUUGAAACCUCACCUGAGUUUUAGCUCUCAGUGGUUAAACGCUGGACUUAAUUCACUCAGGUUUUGUCGGGUCACGUUUACUUCGCUGUUUUAUUUACAACUGAGAGAAUCGGUUUGGCUGAGGCUAAAGUUACGUUUCAUAACUGCAUAGUUUUACAGACGUUUAAUGGUUCACUGGCACAUGUGUUAGACUGAACUAUUCGCUUUUCUUUAUUUGGUGUGUUUCGGAUUUAACAGUGAAUUUUGAGAUUAAACUCACUUUUAAAAUGUUUUUAUACAAAGAGGAAAGAGAAGGCGCAUUUCCACCGAGAGGAGCAGAGUUUGCAACAGCAUGUUCAUCAUAAGGACUGCAACCUGGACAGAAAUAAUAUAUCAUCUGUUUUUAAUAGUUAUUCAACUGUAUUCUAAGCACCAGCUAUCUGUUAGAAUUUUUAGAGUUUACUUAACUAAAAAUAAAUGAGGUUAACAUAUAAUUUGUGGGAUUUUUUUUCUCUCUCUCUCUUUUUAUUCAUUUAUUUAUUUUUUUGCUUUUUCGGUCAUGUUAUGUUUCACUGUCAAAGGUUCGUUACAAACUAUGAAACACAUCGUGCAGACUUCUGGAUGUUAGAAGAAAACUAAUACUGCUCAUGAAUGAGACUAAAGGCAGGAAGGUGUCCUUUAAAACUAAACAUGUUAGUAGGACCUCCCUAUUUACAGCUCACGUGGGUGUUAUCUGUGAUACUCCUUAACUAUAAUUUAUCCAAGAUAAUUUCAAUUAACUCGGAGCGGCUGGACAACAAUUUUACAUGUAUGAUCUUAAAACAGGACACAGCCACUUUACGUGCUGGCCUCAUAUCAAAUGUGAAUGCAGACUGAGUCUGUUUGACGUUUGCUUUAUAUAUAAUCUUCCUCUCAAACAUUUAAACAGCAGCGAGUCUGCAGCUGAGGGAAUACAAACUCAAACUGUCGGAACAGGUUUGCUCGUUUCUUGCGUGGAUUCACCUGGAACACCUGUUCAACCAAUCACUUUCUUUCCACUUUGAUCUGCGACAAACUGACGGUUCAUCUCUGUUACAGUGUUGCAGAGACUGCUAUAUUUUUGUGUUCUUUAUGCUGUAGAUUUCCACAUCUCUGGAAUAGUUGGCAGUAAUAAGGAUGCUUUUCUGUAAAAUCAUAUUGAUAUGACCCGUGACAUAUUCGUAGAUGACAGAUAGUCAGCUGGGAAACUCUGGGUUAACUCAGAAAGCUGAAGAUAUCGUGGAGAGAUGCAUGAUUAAUAUUCACAAUAAAAAUAUUAGCCGAACAUCAUGAAGUCUGUAUGUGUUUCAUAGUGUCGAACAACCUUUGUACAGUUAAAGCCAGCAGCUACUACAUGACGGAAACACCAACGUCAUCUCUCUUCUGCGAUUAUACGCAGGUCACGCAGAUUACUGAACAGAAACCCAAAGAUCAGCUGUUAAUCGAGUUUAUUUGCUCUCUCUCCUCCUUAAACACGUUUUUAAUGUUAGUUAUACUUCAGAAUUGGCGACUGAAACACGUAGAACACAUACGAACAUCAGGAAAUAACACCCCGAUAAAUAUAACCUCCGUAAAAGAAGUCCGUGUCAGCGGGGAUUAUUACAGCUGUGUACCGGGGCCUGUGCUCUGUCGGCGGUAACAACAGCUCGAUUGCUUGCGAGGCGAGCGGGUCUAUCCCACGCUUUGCCGUGAGACUGGGCAGACAUCUCCGAAAUCAUCGAAGCACUUUUGCAAAGAGGCUGUAUUUUGACAAACCGACCACACAUAUGAAGAUUAAACCACUACAUUCUCGGCUAAAAAAAUAUUACAAGAGUAUUUGGUGAUACACAAACAGGGUUUUUCAAAGUUCAGUUCUGUUAGUUUCCAAUGGUUGUGUGCUAAAAACAAUGGCCACCAGGCCAAAGCAAUGGUUUUGACUCGAUCAGCGUUAACCCCGCCCCCUGAGUUUGAUGGGUGAGGCUGACAGAUAAAAUUAAUUCAUGGUGAGAGCCAGGCGCCAGGACUGCCAAAA